GCGGCCGUGGCUGAGUGGUCUAAAGCAAGGUGCUAUGAAGUACACCUGGAGACUUUGUCUCAACGUGGGUUCGAAUCCCGCCGGUCGCC